ACUCUAUUCAUCCUUACAUUCAAAUGUUUGAUUCAUUUGUUUGGCAGUAAGAAAUCGCAUUUCAAACUGUCCGUGUUUUUUACUCUUCUGCACAGAACGUUGACCCCAAUGGACAGAAUGACACGUACACAGAUCUUCAGCCCACGGCCAGGUCCUCUGAUGAGGUUUACCUCACACUUACAAACGCUGACCCUAAUGCUCAGGACAAUACGUACACAGCUCUUCAGCCCACAGCCAGGUCCUCUGAUGAUGUGUACCACACACUUGCAGCUGUUCAGUCCAGCUCUCCUGAUGACCUGUACACAGCUCUGGACCCUCAGUCCAGGUCUCCUGAGUAUGACACUCUAGCAGUGAGCUCUACACAUUAAAGCCAUUUGAACACUGUUGGAGACAGAAGAAAAGUCUUACACAGUACAGAAGUGAUAAUCUUAAUUCACAGAGAAUCUUAUGGCUUUGAUAAUUUGUCCACGUACUGCUGUUAUUGCUCAUUAUGUACCUCAUUGGAUUUCUUACUGUGUUAAGGAAUCAAA